GCCAGGUGCGGUGGUGCAUGCCUUAGUCCCAGCUACUUGGAAGGCUGAGGUGAGAGGAUUACUUGAACACAGGCAUUCUGGAUUAUAGUGCACUAUACUGUGGUGUUCACAUUAAGUUCAGCAUCAGUAUAGUUACCUCCUAGGAGCAAGGAAUUAUCAGGUUGCCUGAGGAGGGGGUGAACUGGCCCAGGUCAUUAAUGGUGCAAGUCAGAACUCUCUGUACUGAUUAAUAGUGGAAUCAUACCAGUGAAGAGCCACUGAACUCCCAUCAGGGCAACAUGGUGAGACCUCCAUCUCU
rnacentral:SRP_RNA from 1 species